rnacentral:rRNA from 1 species
ACAGCAGCAGCCGCGGUAAUACGAAGGGGGCUAGCGUUGUUCGGAUUUACUGGGCGUAAAGCGCACGUAGGCGGACUUUUAAGUCAGGGGUGAAAUCCCGGGGCUCAACCCCGGAACUGCCUUUGAUACUGGAAGUCUUGAGUAUGGUAGAGGUGAGUGGAAUUCCGAGUGUAGAGGUGAAAUUCGUAGAUAUUCGGAGGAACACCAGUGGCGAAGGCGGCUCACUGGACCAUUACUGACGCUGAGGUGCGAAAGCGUGGGGAGCAAACAGGAUUAGAUACCCGGGUAGUCCCUGUCUCUUAUAC